rnacentral:rRNA from 1 species
AGAGUUUGAUCCUGGCUCAGGAUGAACGCUAGCGGCAGGCUUAAUACAUGCAAGUCGAGGGGCAGCGGGAGUAGCAAUACUUGCCGGCGACCGGCGCACGGGUGCGUAACACGUAUGUAAUCUGCCCAUCACAGGAGAAUAGCCCGGAGAAAUUCGGAUUAAUACUCCAUAAUAAAUUGAGUGGCAUCACUUGAUUUUGAAAGUUCCGACGGUGAUGGAUGAACAUGCGACUGAUUAGUUAGUUGGUGAGGUAACGGCUCACCAAGACCACGAUCAGUAGGGGUACUGAGAGGUUAAACCCCCACACUGGUACUGAGACACGGACCAGACUCCUACGGGAGGCAGCAGUAAGGAAUAUUGGACAAUGGCCGCAAGGCUGAUCCAGCCAUGCCGCGUGCAGGAAGAAGGCCCUAUGGGUCGUAAACUGCUUUUGAACAAGAGAAAACCCCUCUACGUGUAGAGGGCUGAUAGUAUUGUUAGAAUAAGCAUCGGCUAACUUCGUGCCAGCAGCCGCGGUAAGACGAAGGAUGCAAGCGUUAUCCGGAUUCAUUGGGUUUAAAGGGAGCGUAGGCGGACUUGUAAGUCAGUGGUGAAAUCUUUGGGCUUAACCCAGAAACUGCCAUUGAUACUGCAAGUCUAGAGUACAGUUGCCGUUGGCGGAAUAUGACAUGUAGUGGUGAAAUACUUAGAUAUGUCAUAGAACACCGAUUGCGAAGGCAGCUAACGAAGCUGUAACUGACGCUGAGGCUCGAAAGUGCGGGGAUCAAACAGGAUUAGAUACCCUGGUAGUCCGCACUGUA